GAGUCUGACUAAGAGACGUACAUCAGGAUGAUGUUGUUUCUGGACACACCGGGAAGGUGCUUCACGGACAGACUUCAGGACGAAGUGAGAGGAUAUCGCCGGAGUGCGUUAAAGGACACCUCCAGGACGGAGAAUGAGAGCCGGUCAGGAUGGACGGUAGAUCAGGAGGAUCCAGGACACGCUUUAAGGAUAAGGCCAGGUCACAUCGGGGUGGUGUGAGCAUGAUGCGUUGUUUAAGGAUGAACUGGUCAGGAGACCGCAGGAAAAGUUUUCAUGGAUGAGCAGGGAGCACACGGGUAGCCGGAUAGCUGCGAAACGAACCGGGAGCACUGUUUUUACAGUGCUCCCUUUUUUUAUU
rfam:Enterobacter cloacae S611 EDP2.NODE_1904, whole genome shotgun sequence.